rnacentral:snoRNA from 1 species
CUAGCACUAUAACAGGUCUUGGCCUUGUGAGGUAGGCCAUGAUUUGGUAGCUGGUGCUUAGAACGACAGGUCCUCAUAACAAAAACCAGAGGUUUUUUAAGUAUCUCAUGGGUCAAUAAAGGGGAGGACAUUU